rnacentral:rRNA from 1 species
UACGUAGGGUGCGAGCGUUGUCCGGAAUUAUUGGGCGUAAAGAGCUCGUAGGCGGUGUGUCGCGUCGGCCGUGAAAACCUGCAGCUUAACUGUGGGCUUGCGGUCGAUACGGGCAUCACUGGAGUUCGGCAGGGGAGACUGGAAUUCCUGGUGUAGCGGUGAAAUGCGCAGAUAUCAGGAGGAACACCGGUGGCGAAGGCGGGUCUCUGGGCCGAUACUGACGCUGAGGAGCGAAAGCCAGGGGAGCAAACGGG